AUGGCUGGUUGGUUGGUUGUUUGGUUCGCUCGUUGGUUUGGGAUGGCUGUUAAGGCCUCUUUAUAUGCGCACCUUAAAAAACAACAACAAGAUGCUUAAUGCUUUUUGUCUCUUUUUGUGUAUUUUGUUUUUCGCGUUGCCUCGUGAACGGGGCACACUUAUGGCCACGCACACACUCAGGUCCAGAUACAGAUGCAGGGGCAGAGAUACAGAUACAUGGGGCAUAGGCUGCAAACCGGAGUUGGAGUUGAAGCUUGAAGCUUGGCCUGGGUCUCACUCUGACUCUGGGGCUGAGGCUGGUCUUUGGUCUUUUUUUUUGUUUGCUGUGGUUUGAGGCACAGCCAGAGCCAGAGCCGGAGUUGAAGUCGGAGUCGGAGUCGGAGUCGGAGUUGGAGGCACGACGAGAGCUGAGUAAAAAACAUGUUUGGAUUUAAUUCUUUUUAUUUAUUUUCACCAUCGUCGCUUUUUCUCCAUGUUGCUUUCUUUCUUUGCCUUUUUGGACAUGUAUCUGCGAGAUACUUUUUGUUGUUGCUGUUGCUGCUUGUGUGCCAUGAUGAUGACGCUGACAAAGGUCUCUCCCCACAGCCACAGAGAGACCCGUUGCCAUACGCGAUUUUAAUGAAGCACUUAAAAAGCAUAAAUGAAAAUAAAACCCAGCAAAGGCAGGGCAGCAGACACACAGCACACAGAGAGCACAGAGAUAGCCUCAGUGGCCCGUCCGUCCGCAGACCCUUGCCACAGAGAGUCCCCGCACCGCGAUCGGCACAAACGACAAUUGAUGUGGAGCCUGUGCCAGGGUCUGCCUCCAUGUGGCUGCAGUUGAUGUGCCCGGCCGUUCCGUCCUCAAUCCAUCUACAGAUACAUUACUUUUUACUGUCGAAGUUUGUCCCUUCAGAUGCGU
rnacentral:lncRNA from 1 species